GAAAAGGUUUGCCGUAAGUUGGAGUGGUAGAAAAGGAUGAAAAAGGAAGCAUAAUGUACUUGGAAAAUAAGUCAGAUCUGAGUCCAGAGGUCCGUUUGGCCUUCACCACUUACGGGGACCCCACUGCCUCCACGAGGAGAAAGAAUAUCUGAGGUUGGAGCAAAGAAAAAACAAGGAAAGCUGAGAAGUAAAGAGUACAAGAGGAUUGAUGGAUUAUUUUGGACUCUGGAGUCAGCAAUGCCAACCUGGACUUCAUAGUCAUCUGAGGUGGCAGCAGAGCGGCUCCGAGCAACGGACACACGCAUUAAUUCACUGAAUGCACCAGCAACUCCCAGUGGCUAGUGUUGUCCUGCCCCAGGAAAGGAAUGGAACCCAGGGUGAG
ensembl:lncRNA